rnacentral:misc_RNA from 1 species
GGCGAGUAUAAGAUUGUUCAGAUUUAUCAGGGUUUGGAUUUACCUUGUGAAAUUCUUGCGCUGAAAGGUGGCUCUUGGAGAAGAAGUGAUAAGCAUCCUCAUGGCAUAUACUGUCUGAUGUUUGCUAUGCAGUUUUUGACAUUUGUACAUGCAGCAUUUCAUUGGAUCAGUAUGUCACGAAAUUAUUCUGUGGUGCUUUCGUUUAGUAUUUCGAAUGAAGCAUAUGGAGAGAUUCCCUUAACGGAGGAAAUUUCACGUCCGGGGGCUGUUAUUGGCAUUACAGUUUUGGAUGGAAUGCUUUCUGUUCAUUCUAAUUGUCGUUAUGAUCAGAGUAACCGUACUAUUAAGUUAUGGGUAUUGAAAGAGUAUGGUAUCAAGGAAAAUCUUGGAUUCCAUUGUUAUCUACCGAAGAUCGUUAUAUUGCUUUUGCUAUAC